AAACACAUAAGUGCUUCUUUGCCA
rnacentral:siRNA from 1 species